rnacentral:sRNA from 1 species
GUCGCGAACCAGUUUAUUGGCAGUUAAUGGCGAAAUAAAGUCGCCACGAAUAAAAAUUGGUUUACAGUACCUUUGAACUUUACUUGUAUUUCUGAAGAGAAGCUUGAGGGUGUUAAUAUGAAAAUAUUGUUGAAAGUGAUUUAAUUCUGUAAGAAAUAGUUGUUAAGUUUUUGUAUUUGUUAAUGUUUAUAAAUAUUUCUACAUGUGUUUGCAUAUGUUCCUGUUUAUUCAUUAAUUAACCAAAUGAACCUGUGCUAAAUUGCCAUUGAUUUGAUAUUAAUUGCUUUACUUGACUUGAGGUGGGCCCAUUCUUGAAUGAUGUCUCCAUUAAAUGUAGCAUCUUCACUGUAGAGAAAAUAUUGAUGUAUAUUAAUUUAUGAAAAUAGUGAUACAAAUAAUGACUUUCUUGCAUAUCAGUUGUCAAAAAACUGAUAAAUAGUUGACCGUUUAUGUUGCAUUGUUGAUAUAAUUAGCUGCCAAAACUGAAUGCAGAUUUGGGUUGGAAAAAGAAAAACAUGCCAAAACAUACUGUGAAAUCAUUUAAAUUCGAGGGGACCAAUUGUCAUGGAUUGCGUAUUUUUGGUUAUUCGUGGGGAUGUAAUUUUGUAGCUGCUUUGAUUUUCAGCUUCAGUAAGAAAACUAACUCUUUCAAAAUUUGUUUUCGUGGAGGAUGUAAAUUCCUGGGAUAGGGCUACCCUCCAAUACCAUGAAAAUUGAGACACCACAAAUUUUAAAGAUUCCACAUUAGAUCUUUUUUGCUUUUGGGUCACUAGUAUCAAAAAGUCAUUCUAAUAAUUUAAAUUAUCAAGAAAAUAUGACUUCAGGACAAAAAGGCCAAAUUGGAACCCACCUUGAGUCAGAGUAAAAUCAUUUAAUCAAGAAAUUUAAUGUAUUUCUUCUACUUUGUUUUGCGACACCCAUGUGAUAUCAAACCUGAUGUAGAUUGAUUUGUUGUCAUGAUUAAAUGGUGAAAG